AAUAUAUACUUUAUGUCAGGAAAAAGCUGUACUUUUUUGUAAUAGUAUUAUUACGGCAUUCUGUAGUAAAGUCUGAAACAGGUAGAUUUUUAGUAUUAGAAAUAUAUUAGGUGAACAAACAAAUAAUACUUAAGGAAUUCGGCAAAUUUAUUGUAUAUUUAAUUAUUUUUUAAUUGCUUCGGCAUAUACAUUAAUGCUAUAUUAUACCGCUUUAUAUUUAUAAUAUAGCUUCAAAUAAGGAGGGACAACUGUUUAUUAAAAACAUAGGAUCUUGCAAAAUUAAAUGUAAUAUAUGAAGUAAAAGAUCUGACUUCAGCUCAAUGUAUUGUCUUUAAGAAAGGAAUUAAUAUUGAUAAUAUUUUUUCUAUGUACAUUUUAUAUUUCUUGUUUCAAAAGCAAUAUCUAUAGCCGCGGUAUUUCUGACUGUGUUAAGGUAGCAAAAUCUAUUGGCCAUUAAAUGUGGCCGUGUGAUAGGAGUUAUGAUCUCUCCACUGUCUUGAGUAUUAGUUUGGUGAAAAUGAAUUUUGGGUGACCAUACCCAAUCGUCUCAGUUAGACGGAAAGACCCUAUGCAGUUUUACUAUAAUUUGU
rnacentral:rRNA from 1 species